rnacentral:sRNA from 1 species
CAUGUGUAUCCGAAAAGGGAAGAGAAUGGUUGCCCGUAUUCUUCCUUUCCUCUCCACAGAGCAAGCAGCUGACAUUCUCAUGACAACAGCCAGGAACCUCCCUUUCCUUAUCAAGAAGGAUGCACAAGAUGAGUGACUAUCACCAGCCUUUUGCAACAGCUAAUGAACCUACCUCAAAGUGCAGCUACACCAGCACCCUCCAAUCCUCACCUCACUGCUGUGCUCCAGAACAAGGUGAUCUUGCCCUUUUAACUCCUUGAACUUUGUGAAGUGUCUUAAUUUGCAUUAUAGAUUAAAAUAAUGGCUGCUGUAUCUCUAGCAACUUGGGGAAAAGGCUUCUUUCAGUCAAGAGUUACAUUAAGCUCCUAGUAACAGGCUAGAAAUAACAGUGUUUUCAACAAAAUGGGAUUUUAUGUGUCUAGUGUGAAAUAAAUUUGAUU